rnacentral:rRNA from 1 species
GAUGAACGCUGGCGGCGUGCCUAAUACAUGCAAGUCGAGCGAACAGACGAGGAGCUUGCUCCUCUGACGUUAGCGGCGGACGGGUGAGUAACACGUGGAUAACCUACCUAUAAGACUGGGAUAACUUCGGGAAACCGGAGCUAAUACCGGAUAAUAUAUUGAACCGCAUGGUUCAAUAGUGAAAGACGGUUUUGCUGUCACUUAUAGAUGGAUCCGCGCCGCAUUAGCUAGUUGGUAAGCUAACGGCUUACCAAGGCAACGAUGCGUAGCCGACCUAAGAGGGUGAUCGGCCACACUGGAACUGAGACACGGUCCAGACUCCUACGGGAGGCAGCAGUAGGGAAUCUUCCGCAAUGGGCGAAAGCCUGACGGAGCAACGCCGCGUGAGUGAUGAAGGUCUUCGGAUCGUAAAACUCUGUUAUUAGGGAAGAACAAAUGUGUAAGUAACUAUGCACGUCUUGACGGUACCUAAUCAGAAAGCCACGGCUAACUACGUG